rnacentral:rRNA from 1 species
UACGAAGGGGGCUGGCGUUGUUCGGAAUUACUGGGCGUAAAGCGUGCGCAGGCGGUUAUGCAAGUCAGAUGUGAAAUCCCCGGGCUCAACCUGGGAACUGCAUUUGUGACUGCAUGGCUAGAGUGCGGCAGAGGGGGAUGGAAUUCCGCGUGUAGCAGUGAAAUGCGUAGAUAUGCGGAGGAACACCGAUGGCGAAGGCAAUCCCCUGGGCCUGCACUGACGCUCAUGCACGAAAGCGUGGGGAGCAAACAGG